rnacentral:rRNA from 1 species
UACGAAGGGGGCUAGCGUUGCUCGGAAUCACUGGGCGUAAAGGGUGCGUAGGCGGGUCUUUAAGUCAGGGGUGAAAUCCUGGAGCUCAACUCCAGAACUGCCUUUGAUACUGCGGGUCUCGAGUCCGGGAGAGGUGAGUGGAAUUCCUAGUGUAGAGGUGAAAUUCGUAGAUAUUAGGAAGAACACCAGUGGCGAAGGCGGCUCACUGGCCCGGUACUGACGCUGAGGCGCGAAAGCGUGGGGAGCAAACAGGG